rnacentral:rRNA from 1 species
UACGUAGGGGGCAAGCGUUGUCCGGAGUUACUGGGCGUAAAGAGCGCGCAGGCGGUUGAGUAAGUUUGGAGUGACAGUGCUCGGCUUAACUGAGCAAGGCCUUCAAAAACUGCCCAACUGAGGACCAGAGAGGGACAUAGAAUUCCGGGUGGAGUGGUGAAAUGCGUAGAUAUCCGGAGGAAUACCAAAGGCGAAGGCAGUGUCCUGGCUGGUAACUGACGCUC